AUACGGAGGGUCCAAGCGUUAUCCGGAAUCAUUGGGUUUAAAGGGUUCGUAGGCGGGUCAAUAAGUCAGAGGUGAAAUCUUGCAGCUUAACUGUAAAAUUGCCUUUGAAACUGUUGACCUUGAAUUACUGUGAAGUGGUUAGAAUAUGUAGUGUAGCGGUGAAAUGCUUAGAGAUUACAUAGAAUACCGGUUGCGAAGGCAGAUCACUAACAGUAUAUUGACGCUGAUGAACGAAAGCGUGGGUAGCGAACGGGAUUAGAAACCCCUGUAGUCC
rnacentral:rRNA from 1 species